UAAGAUGAUUAUAAAGAUAAUUAUUACAAUAACUAAUAAACUUAGUACGUACCAUAAAUCUAUUGAUUAUUAUACAUAUCAAAAGGCUUGGUUGUUGUUGUUGCCUUUUUGUUGAUUUGAGUUAGAAGGAAUUACCCGUGAAAUAUUUUAAUUCAAGGUAGUAAAUGCUUAGGACACAAGUGAAGAAAGUAAAAAAAAAAAAAAAGGAAGGAAUUUUUAACCUCCACACUUACAACUAAGUUUUUUUAAGUCAUAAUAUAUUUGUAUUCAGAUAAGUAACAUGUACAAGAGGUAUAAUAAGCAGAACCAAUAAAGUUUUGCGAUAGGCAAAAGUGUACCCCUGUUACUUUCAAUCACCUAAAGCAAUCCUAUAACAAGAUUCAAAACAAAAGAAAACCGCAUUUGUGUAUGUUGCAUGAUGCUAUUUGUUCAAAACACAAUCUCAAGGGUUAAUACACCAAUAUGAGAAAGCAACUCCCCCAAAACUCUCCCAUCUAUACAUCCACCAAUUCCAUGACACUAACUUAAUCUGAUAAAAAAAUCAAAAUAAUCUAUAUGCUUCUAAUUAAACACUAUUAUUUCUAUUGAUCCACACUGUCCAACAAGUAGCAUGCCAAAAUCAAUCUUUUACCUUUUUUCCUUCUAGCACCCAACAGAUUCUCUCUAAUCAUCCCAAACAGCUUAUAUGAUUUGGAAUUUGUAAAUCGAUUCCCACCUAUGCCAUAAGUCUUUCCCACAAUCUGUUAAUUACCGAACUUAGUAUGAACAAAUUGUUGCUAGUUUCCACCUCCAGGCCACACAUUUUGCAUGAAGAAUUGUAGUCUUGAAUAAUUUAUUAUUAUUACGUACAACAAUUUAUAUGUUCACAUCUAUUAGACUUAUGAUCUGGUCGUUAAUAGCCAUUUGAUUAUUUAUGAAGGCAAAUGAUCUGAUAAUUUAUAUGUUCACAUCAAUUAGUGUUGUGAAGUGUGCACUUUAAUUCCUAAUUAUCAUAAAGAUAAUCUAAUUUUCACUUUCAUCCUAUUUUCUUAUAUGUUUUAGUAAUUGCAAGAAUGCACCAAUGCAAGAUACUUCAAGUAGUUCAUUUACAAUUUCUUCACCACAGGUAGCACAAAUUUAUCAUUACCUGAAUGAAACACAGUCCUUCACUUGAUGUGCUUCACAUCAUUAACAUAAUCAACAAUUUGUCAUUUUAAGGUUUCCCCAAGUCAUGCUCGAAUUAACUAUAAGAAUGGUGCCUUCUUUGAUGGGAUUGAAACCUUAUCAUUGAAUUCUGUCAAAGAAGUCUUCUUCGGAUACCAUGUUUUGUUGAGUCAGCAUCUUUGAUAGUAGUGAAACCACCUAUACUCUUUGUUCCCUUCUCUGUCUCUCCAUUUAAAAUCUAUCACAUUACUAAAUAAUUUAUCUCUUUUGAAUAAUAACAUUCUCUAGGUUGUUAGUUUUUUCUACUAAGUUGUUAUUUUUUGUUGGAGGGACUGUGAAGGGGACAUAAAAAGGAGACAGGUAUUUGAUUCCCUUUGCGUGAGGGGAUUUUCCUUGGUAUUUUGUAUUUUCUUUGGAGGCUCAUGUUUGCUAUUUGAUGAUGAUUGCUUUGUUGGCUGCCUAGUUAAAUUUUGAGCUUCUGCCAAACUUUUUGAGCCCUUAGGACUUGGAUAUCUUAUUUUCUUGAUUCACUCCUUAAAUUAAGAUUUGUUUUAUGCUCACCACUCCAUUGUUUUGGGCCAUUUUACACUAAUUGCUAUAAGUCAUUGUAGAUUUGAUAUUUUUUUAUUUAUUUUGGUCAUGGUCAUGGUCAUGGAAUUUAUUAAAAAAGUUACAGGGGUAUUUUUAAGCCAUGAUUCUUGAUUUUCAAUUUUAUGAGCAUAUCUAUCCUUAGAAUUUGUUUUCAGUUCAUAUUCAAUUAAAUCCCAAGUAUAUAUUAUUUGUUUAAUGCCAUCUUGCAUAUGUGAAGAGUAAGGUAUCAACUAGUUUGACUAGUUAAAUUUGUUGGAGAUUGAGAUACACACUAGAAGAAAAGUAAGAGUGAGCAAACUCUGAGAGAGGUUUUGAUAAAAAGCGUGAGUUAAUUAGAGUCGUUAUGUAAGGCUAUUUAUUUAGACCCUUUGUUCCUAACAAGGCCGAAAAUAAGGUGGGUAGGUAGAGCAAGUUGAUGCACCUGUGAGUUUUAUCAAUUGCUAACUUCUUUUAAUUUGUUAAGGUUGGCUACUACCUAAACCUUUUAUCCGAACAUCGCAUCAUAGUUCAUAGUAAGACCAGGAAUAUGAAUCUCUUAAGUGUUUAAUCUUACAGUGGCAUGUCAGAAGCAAAUGAAUAUUAUUUUAUUUUCCUGAAUAUAUAUAUUCCAUUUGCUUUAGAGGGCUUCCAAUUAAUGAAAUAACGUACUAAAUUUUUUAUGGUGUAAACUUAGAUUUAUCCAAGAAAUAAAAAUUAUAAAAUGACCUAAGUUGAAAUGGUUGAGUUGAAGAAUGUUGACACAUGUUAUUUUCCAAUCAAUUUCAAUGCCUUUGACUACAUGAGAAGUGCUUAGGCCAUUUUAUGUUGCUUCUUGCGUUUUGAUGUAUUUGCAGUCCCUUCUAGCAUAAUCAGGUAGCCUUGUAACAUUCAAUAUUAUAGUUCUUCUUUUGUGUGCGGUUUUCUCUAAUUUUCUAUAUAUCUGAUAGUAUUUUUUUAACACUAGGAGAUAACUCUCAUCUUGUGUUGUCCAUUUUGGUCAACCACUUGGAUCAUAAGAAUGUUGUUAAGAAGUCUAUCCUUCAUAUUGAUAUUAUCAACACCACCAUGUAGCUUGCACAAAAUGUGAAGCAACUGGCUUCAAUUGCAAUAAUUGGAUCAAAGUUCUCUUAGGUUGAGCAGUCACCAAGUGAGUCUUUUGCUUUCUUCAAUUUGGGUUCAGGCCACAUUUGUGGAAAAUGGCCCUGCAAAUUAUGAGGCAAUGGCACACACCUAUAGCAUUGCUUUAUUAUUUUCUCGUUCUAAGAUGAUAAAGAUGUGUUGAUUCCUGGUGAGGUUCUACGUUGGGAUUAUGGAUAUCAAUGUAGGACACAACAAAAGCAGUGAGGACUUUGUUUCUGUAUCUAUACAAUAGUUAGUUUUCGAUGAGAAAAGAAUAUGACGUCUUCAGUUGGAUCUAUUGAUCUUCAUUUUGUUGUUCUUAGGAAUAGAUGUGUGUUGGCCAGCUGGGGAGUGAGUUGAUGUAUUAGGCUUUCCUUCCCCUUUUGAUAGGUACUUUGAAAGCCAUGUAUGUUUUAUUUAGAGAUACUUGGAUUUCUUACUAAUGAUUGUAGUUCCAUAAGGCACAAUACUAUAUUUUCAUUGUUUCUGUUA